rnacentral:rRNA from 1 species
UACGUAGGGUGCAAGCGUUAUCCGGAAUUAUUGGGCGUAAAGAGCUCGUAGGCGGUUUGUCGCGUCUGCUGUGAAAACUGGAGGCUCAACCUCCAGCCUGCAGUGGGUACGGGCAGACUAGAGUGCGGUAGGGGAGAUUGGAAUUCCUGGUGUAGCGGUGGAAUGCGCAGAUAUCAGGAGGAACAGCCCAUACGCGAAGGCAGCUUGCUGGGACGUUACUGACGCUAAGGCGCGAAAGCGUG